GACGUAGGGGGCGGAGCGUUGUCCGGAAUUACUGGGCGUAAAGAGCACGUAGGCGGAACCUAAGUCAGGUGUGAAAGACCGUGGCUCAACCACGGGGUGGCAUUUGAAACUGGGUUUCUUGAGGGCAGGAGAGGAAAGCAGAAUUCCUGGUGUAGCGGUGAAAUGCGUAGAAAUCAGGAGGAAUACCAGUGGCGAAGGCGACUUCCUGGUCUGUAACUGACGCUGAGGCGCGAAAGCGUGGGGAUCAAACAGGAUUAGAUACCCCCGUAGUCCCUGAGCGGGCU
rnacentral:rRNA from 1 species